GAGGGAUGAACCUAACGUUGAGAUAAGGUGCCCAAAUUCACGCUCAUGAGACACCAUAAAAGGUGUUGGUUAGUUUAAACAGCCGGACUGUGGCCAUGGAAGUCGGCAGCAGCUAAGGAGUGUGUAACAACUCACCAGCCGAAUUAACCAGCCCUGAAAAUUGAUGGCGCUAAGCGUGAUACCGAUACUCAACCAUUAAGGCAAAUUAGAAGCUUUAAUGAGUAAGAGGGCGUGAAUACUGUGCAGAAGGCUUGGAUGUGAAUCUGGCUGGAACAGUAUUUAGUGCAGAUCUUGGUGGUUAGUAGCAAAAUAUUCAAAUGAGAACUUUGAAGACCGAAGUGGUAGAAGGGUUCCAUGAGAACAGCAUUUGUUCAUGGGUUACUCGAUCCUAAGACAUAGGG
rnacentral:rRNA from 1 species